GUGGCGAACGGGUGAGUAACACGUAGGUAACCUGCCCAUGUGUCUGGGAUAACUGCUGGAAACGGUAGCUAAAACCGGAUAGGUAUACGGAGCGCAUGCUCUGUAUAUUAAAGCGCCCUUCAAGGCGUGAACAUGGAUGGACCUGCGGCGCAUUAGCUAGUUGGUGAGGUAACGGCCCACCAAGGCGAUGAUGCGUAGCCGGCCUGAGAGGGUAAACGGCCACAUUGGGACUGAGACACGGCCCAAACUCC
rnacentral:rRNA from 1 species